rnacentral:rRNA from 1 species
UUAGUCAAUGCUCGCAAGAGUGAACUAGCUAACUGAAAUCAUACUUGUGUCAAGUGUGAUAACGUAAGGGAAGAUAAUGACAUUACCUUACUAUUAGUGUUGUCCAAAACUGGUGCCAGAAGACUCGGUAAGGCCAGAGACGCGAACGUUAGUCGUCCUAAUCAGGCGUAAAGGGUGUGUAGGCUGCUUUAAAGUUUUUCUUUAUUACUUAAAUUCUUUUACUUAAUAUAUCUUUAAAAAGGAUAUAAAAAGAUCUAAACUUAUUUAAUGUAGACUGAUUAAUUCGUUUAAAUAUUUAAUACUAAUAACUAAAAUUGUUUAGUUAAAAAAAGAAUAAACUGAUAAUGAAAAAUUAUUUAGUUAUUUAGAGUUAAUUAAAGUAGAGAUAAGAUGAAUAAAAGCUAGAAUCAAAUAGAGGAUAAAAUAAUAUUUAGAGGAGGGGUGAUAUCCUAAGAUACUAAGUAGAAUAUUAAUGGUGAAAGCUUUUAUCUAUUAAUGAUUGACGCUGAGAAACGAAGGUGGGGAUAGGAAAUAGGAUUAGAUACCCAGAUACCCCUCACUGUCAACGAUGAAUGGUGGUUGCUAGUUAAAUAUAAUAAUUGGUGGCGAUGUUAACACGAUAACCAUUCCGCCAUGUGAGUACGACUGCAAAGUUGAAAACAAAAAAAUUAGUCGGUCUCGAAGCAAACGAAGUGAAGCAUGUUAUUUAAU